rnacentral:tRNA from 1 species
GGUCACGUAGCUCAGUUGGUUAGAGCGCUGCGUUCACAUCGCAGAGGUCACUGGUUCGAGCCCAGUCGCGACCACCA